rnacentral:lncRNA from 1 species
ACUUUGAAUGACUAUUUACUGUGUCUUUUUAUGACUAUUUAUUGUGUCUUUUUUUUAGAAGAGGAGGCAAAGAAGAAAGUUCAAUUGAUGUAUCUUAUUUGGUUCUAUCUAUCUAGGUGUAUAGCCACAUGAGAUAUGACAUUAUUAAUCUUUUUGAUUUUGAUGCCUAUUUUAUACUUUCUCAUUUCAAAUAUUUUAACAGUGUUUUGUUUAUUUUUAUAGGAAAAAAGGAGAAUAUAUGCAGAUUAAGAAAGUUUUAUAGGAAAAAAGGAGAAUAUAUGCAGAUUAAGAAAGUUCAUUGUGGGAGGAUUUAAAUCGAAUUUUACACACUCUACAUUUGUCAAGUUCUAUACAUAAGUAAGUGUCUUCACUCUUUAACUAUGAUUUAAUUUUUUGUUACUUUGUUCAACCUUUUUAGUAAGAUUUUUUAUGAGUGUUUGCUC